rnacentral:rRNA from 1 species
UACGUAGGGUGCAAGCGUUGCUCGGAAUCAUUGGGCGUAAAGAGCGUGUAGGUGGCUAGAUAAGUCGGAUGUGAAAUCCCUCGGCUCAACCGAGGAAGGGCAUUCGAAACUAUCUAGCUCAAGGAUGGCAGAGGAAGGUGGAAUUCCUAGUGUAGAGGUGAAUUUCGUAGAUAUUAGGAGGAAUACCGGUGGCGAAGGCGGCCUUCUGGACCAUUCCUGACACUGAGACGCGAAAGCGUGGGUAGCAAACAGG